AGACUGGCAGCAGAGUCCUGUCUAGCCAGCCAGAAGUCUGAGAGGGUGAGGACUGUGGCAGCAGAGUCCUGUCUAGCCAGCCAGAAGUCUGAGAGGGUGAAGACUGUGGUACCAGAGUCCUGUCUAGCCAGCCAGAAGUCUGAGAGGGUGAGGACUGUGGCAGCAGAGUCCUGUCUAGCCAGCCAGAAGUCUGAGAGGGUGAAGACUGUGGCACCAGAGUCCUGUCUAGCCAGCCAGAAGUCUGAGAGGGUGAAGACUGUGGUACCAGAGUCCUGUCUAGCCAGCCAGAAGUCUGAGAGGGUGAAGACUGUGGUACCAGAGUCCUGUCUAGCCAGCCAGAAGUCUGAGAGGGUGAAGACUGUGGCACCAGAGUCCAAAGGAGCCAGCCAGAAGUCUGAGAGGGUGAAGACUGUGGUACCAGAGUCCAAAAGAGCCAGCCAGAAGUCUGAGAGGGUGAAGACUGUGGUACCAGAGUCCAAAAGAGCCAGCCAGAAGUCUGAGAGGGUGAAGACUGUGGUACCAGAGUCCAAAAGAGCCAGCCAGAAGUCUGAGAGGGUGAAGACUGUGGCACCAGAGUCCAAAGGAGCCAGCCAGAAGUCUGAGAGGGUGAAGACUGUGGUACCAGAGUCCAAAAGAGCCAGCCAGAAGUCUGAGAGGGUGAAGACUGUGGUACCAGAGUCCUGUCUAGCCAGCCAGAAGUCUGAGAGGGUGAAGACUGUGGUACCAGAGACCAAGUCCAUCAAAGUUGUUUUCACCAAAGCAUAUGAUCUAUCACUGAAACCCCACCUGGUGUGGUGGACGUUGUCGAACCAGAUCAGAACUCCUUUCAGGACCACCUUCAGACCACCUUCCGACCACCUCCAGGACCACCUUCAGACCACCUUCUGACCACCUCCAGGACCACCUUCAGGACCACCUCCAGGACCACCUUCAGGACCACCUUCCGACCACCUCCUGGAGCACCUUCAGGACCACCUUCAGGACCACCUCCAGGACCACCUUCAGGACCACCUUCAGACCACCUUCAGACCACCUCCAGGACCACCUUCAGACCACCUUCAGGACCACCUUCAGGACCACCUCUGGGACCACCUUCAGGACCACCUUCAGGACCUCCUCCAGGACCACCUUCAGGAUCACCUUCAGGCCACCUCAGACCAUCUUCAGGCCACCUUCAGACCACCUUCAGGACCACCUUCAGACCACCUUCAGGACCACCUUCAGGACCACCUUCAGACCACCUUCAGGCCACCUUCAGACCACCUUCAGGACCACCUUCAGGCCACCUUCAGGCAUGGACUGAGAAGGACGGGGAGGUUUCUGACCAGGUAAAAAUUAUGUGAGACUGAACAUGGACGAGGUGCAGGAGAAACAGGAGAGCUACCUGAGGAGAAUCAAGAAGGGAACCAAGUGCUACGACAUCUGGGCCAAUUACUUGGUUUGGAAGAAGGUCGAAAGGAAAGCGAGACCUGCGAAACCUCGCUGCUCUUUCGCUCCUAGCUGGGGUCACCAUCUGUUAAGGUAAAUAUAAAACAUCUCUGAUAAUAACUAUUUGCAAAAUGAGCUCACAUCAACCACAUCCAUCAUAACAUCAACCUCGACCACAAAAACCAACCAGAGCCUCAACCACACAUCAAACUUAAACUGAACCACAGCCAUCAAACUCAAACAAAACCCCAAUCUCCAACCUCAACCACACUGCCCUCUGGUGACUGUUACCAUGUAACUAUAUCAGAGGUUGGCAACAGGCGUCCAAAACCGGCCCACAAGUGAUUUAUUUUGCCCCCCCCCCCAAAAAAAAAAGUUUUUAGUAAAAUUAUUUGACUUUUGUUUUUGGUAAAGAAAAUAAGGAAUUCUGCUAAAAAAUGAAAUUUGUUCCCAUGAAUAAAAAUCAAAGUUUGGGAUUGUGUCUCAAUGUAAUCAAGGUAUGAAAUCAGCAUGUUAUUUUAAAAUGCAAGGUCUUCAUGGACUUACUUGUGGUCAAUUUGCUGGGUUCAAAAUUAUUAUAACUAUGUUCUGUCCUCACAACCAUCCGCUCAGACAAAAAACCUUCCCGCUGCUGAGUUGCCUACCCGUGCACUAGAUGGUGCUGUUUACCAAUAACAGGGACUCUUAUGACUUCUUCUUGAGAAAUGAGUGAAACUGUUAGCAGCUGAUGUUGUUCUUUAAUAACACAGACCCCAAAGCAAAUAACUAGCUUUAAGCACCAACUGUCAGAGCAGCUCACAGAUUACUGCACCUGUACAUAGCCCACCUAUCCUUUUAGCCCAAACAACUACCUCUUUCCCUACUGUAUUUAUUUAUUUAUUUUGCUCCUUUGCACCCCAUUAUUUUUAUCUCUACUUUGCACAUUCUUCCACUGCAAAUCUACCAUUCCAGUGUUUUACUUGCUAUAUUGUAUUUACUUUGCCACCAUGGCCUUUUUUUGCCUUUACCUCCCUUAUCUCACCUCAUUUGCUCACAUUGUAUAUAGACUUGUUUAUACUGUAUUAUUGACUGUAUGUUUGUUUUACUCCAUGUGUAACUCUGGGUCGUUGUAUCUGUCGAACUGCUUUGUUAUAUCUUGGCCAGGUCGCAGUUGUAAAUGAGAACUUGUUCUCAACUUGCCUACCUGGUUAAAUAAAGGUGUUCUCAACUAGCCUACCUGGUUAAAUAAAGGUGUUCUCAACUUGCCUACCUGGUUAAAUAAAGGUGUUCUCAACUUGCCUACCUGGUUAAAUAAAGGUGAAAUAAAAUUUUAACAAAUAAAGAAUCAGGGGGAGGAAAAUAGGUUUAUUUGAAGAGGACAAAUCAUACAGGGAGGUAGAUGGUCAUUCUUCCCUGUCCUCAGUGGUUCUCUCCUCAGUGGUUCUCUCCUGUGAUUCUCUCCUCAGUGAUGCUCUCCUGUGAUUCUCUCCACAGAACAAAGGGACAGGAUGUAGUUUUAUAACCCAGCCCUAGCCUGUGGUUGACCAAUUAGAAUUCCUUGCAGUGAAACUGGGCCAAUGGCCAAAUAACAAGUAACCUAUUUCAGGCUCACUGUAUAGACAAAUUCCUCCCAUGUCUCUGACCCAUUGAUCAAUAAUUCCCUAUAACAGAAAAAACACUAUUUACAUUGAUCGUUAGUCCUAUCGACUUCUCGUAUUCUGUCUCUGUGUUGUGUAUUUAUGUUCCAAAUAUUCUUCAGAAACCAAAACAUGAUUUAAAAUGUCUCUUGUAUUGUGCCGUUCCACAUGACUCUCUCUAUUUAAAAUGUCUCUUGUAUUGUACCGUUCCACAUGACUCUCUCUAUUUAAAAUGUCUCUUGUGUUGUACUGUUCCAUAUGACUCUCUCUAUUUCAAAUGUCUCUUGUGUUGUACUGUUCCAUAUGACUCUCUCUAUUUAAAAUGUCUCUUGUGUUGUACCGUUCCACAUGACUCUCUCUAUUUAAAAUGUCUCUUGUGUUGUACUGUUCCAUAUGACUCUCUCUAUUUAAAAUGUCUCUUGUAUUGUGCCGUUCCACAUGACUCUCUCUAUUUAAAAUGUAUCUUGUAUUGUACCGUUCCACAUGACUCGCUCUAUUUAAAAUGUCUCUUGUGUUGUACUGUUCCAUAUGACUCUCUCUAUUUAAAAUGUCUCUUGUAUUGUGCCGUUCCACAUGACUCUCUCUAUUUAAAAUGUCUCUUGUAUUGUGCCGUUCCACAUGACUCUCUCUAUUUAAAAUGUCUCUUGUGUUGUACUGUUCCACAUGACUCUCUCUAUUUAAAAUGUCUCUUGUGUUGUACUGUUCCAUAUGACUCUCUCUAUUUAAAAUGUCUCUUGUGUUGUACUGUUCCAUAUGACUCUCUCUAUUUAAAAUGUCUCUUGUUUAAUAAAGCACUAAUUCACCUUCGCUUUGUGCAGCUUAAUGUUCCAGGAAAACCUCUGGGCCCUAGUCAUAAAGGCUCCAGGAAAACCUCUGGGCCCUAGUCAUAAAGGUUAAAGGAAAACCUCAGGGCCCUAGUCAUAAAGGUUCCAGGAAAACCUCAGGGCCCUAGUCAUAAAGGCUCCAGGAAAACCUCUGGGCCCUAGUCAUAAAG
rnacentral:lncRNA from 1 species